rnacentral:rRNA from 1 species
UACGUAGGGUCCAAGCGUUAAUCGGAAUUACUGGGCGUAAAGCGCACGUAGGCGGACUUUUAAGUCAGGGGUGAAAUCCCGGGGCUCAACCCCGGAACUGCCUUUGAUACUGGAAGUCUUGAGUAUGGUAGAGGUGAGUGGAAUUCCGAGUGUAGAGGUGAAAUUCGUAGAUAUUCGGAGGAACACCAGUGGCGAAGGCGGCUCACUGGACCAUUACUGACGCUGAGGUGCGAAAGCGUGGGGAGCAAACAGGAUUAGAAACCCUGGUAGUCC